rnacentral:rRNA from 1 species
AUUGAACGCUGGCGGAAUGCUUUACACAUGCAAGUCGAACGGCAGCACGGGGGCAGCCCUGGUGGCGAGUGGCGAACGGGUGAGUAAUACAUCGGAACGUGCCCGGUCGUGGGGGAUAACGUAGCGAAAGUUACGCUAAUACCGCAUACGAUCUGAGGAUGAAAGCGGGGGACCUUCGGGCCUCGCGCGAUCGGAGCGGCCGAUGUCAGAUUAGGUAGUUGGUGGGGUAAAGGCCUACCAAGCCGACGAUCUGUAGCUGGUCUGAGAGGACGACCAGCCACACUGGGACUGAGACACGGCCCAGACUCCUACGGGAGGCAGCAGUGGGGAAUUUUGGACAAUGGGCGCAAGCCUAAUCCAGCCAUUCCGCGUGCAGGACGAAGGCCUUCGGGUUGUAAACUGCUUUUGUACGGAACGAAAAGGCUCUGGCUAAUACCUGGGGCUCAUGACGGUACCGUAAGAAUAAGCACCGGCUAACUACGUG